rnacentral:tRNA from 3 species
GCUGGCGUGGCUCAAUGGUAGAGCACAUCACUCGUAAUGAUGAGGUUGUGGGUUCGAUUCCCACCGCCAGCUCCA